GUUGGUCCAGUCGAGCUUUGACCACUCUCGUGAAACAUCAUCAUCACACACACAAUUCUCCCCAAGUCCUAAAACAAUAUUAUCUUAAAGUUCUAAUUAAACACGUAAGAUUCGUAAGAUUUGCUUCUGGACGACACAGCGUGGCAACGCGGUGACAUUUAAUUGGACGUGGAUACCUAGAGUUACAUGUGACAUGAAAUUGAGCCUGUUUGUAAUCAUAUUGUUGUCAAUAUUGACAACUGCAACGUGCGUGGUGCCGGUAAAACUGCUGUGGAAAGUAAAGAAAGCGAGAAUGCCGUCUCGGAGACCAAGACCCAUAAACUGUUACGGCUUGUUGUCUCUAACGAAGACUUGCCAACUCAUGCACGAUGAGUAUACUCACGUGUGACAUUUUUUUCGCGACUUAUUUGAUCGCAACGUUAUGUGUGUAAACUCCUCACAUUAUAACUUACUGAUUUUCAAAUAUAAACAUUUUUACUUCUA